CACAGGCCAUAUCUCCAUGCUUAGUCACCAGGGAGUGGCUCUAUUUGAAAAGAUUACAAGGGUUAGAGGGUAUGGACUGGUUGGAGGAAGUGUCAUUGGUGGGGGAAUUCAAAGUUUCAAAUCCCAGACUAGUUCCAGGUGCUCUCUCCUCUCCCUCCCUCUCCCUCUUCCGCUCCCUCUCCUUCUCCCUUCCCUCUCCCUCCCCUUCUCACCCCCCCUCUCCAGGCUGCAUGAAUGCCGCUGUGCUCCCUGUCAGGAUAACAAACUCAACCUCUAAACCAUAAGCAAGACCCCAAUUAAAUGCUUUUUCUUUUAAUAGUUGGUCAUGGUGUCUCUUCUCAUCAACAGCACAGUGGCUAAGAUCACAGCCAACCAUAAGAAUGCAGGAAAGCGCCUGCUGUGGACAAGACAGGAGGACUGUGACCAUGCUGCCGCCUGCUCAGCUGCCACCAGCUCCCACCACACUGGAGGUAAUUCUGGCAGACAGUGGGGAGUGUGUUCCCCGAACGGCUAUGAAAUGGAAAUGGAGGCCUGCCAAAAAAACAAGGAGCAAACAUUCUGGUAAGUUCUCGGGGACCCAGUCUAUCUCAGUCAAGCCAGCCCCUACUCUCUCACAGUCUUCCUUUCUCCAUUGCUCAUAGUUACCAGGAGACAUGGCUGAUGCAGGGCAGGAAGCCAGGUAUGAAAGGCGGGGCCAAUCAGCAAACACACUUAGGGAAGUGUCAAUCUCUGCCAGGAUUAGCAUCCUGAUUUAAUGGUGAUGUAAGGAGGGUGAGACAAACAUUACCCAGGUUCACCAUUUUCUCUCCCUUGUUAAUCAAGAUCAUUAACGAGCCAACGCUCUUCAAUAUUCACUGAGUACAACACCGUUCAUUAGCUGCCAUUGGGCCACAUUUAGACCAGAAGGAGGAAAAAGCCAACAGAGAAGGAAGAGGCCUGUGAGUGUCUUGACAUACCUCUGGAGAAAGAUUGAAUAGCAAGUUGUUCAUGAAGAGUCUCUAAGAGUAGUAGAGACUAGAGGACUGGUGGAUACACAGGUCCCAGGAUGCACUAUCUCAGAAGGGUCCUAUCAGGGCGAGAUGGGGAAGGGCGGAAGCAGGAAGCCAGGGCGCACCUGAGAGGUGCGGGCUGCAGAGGGAGCGUCUCCCCAUGUAAGAGGAGCUUGUCUGUCUGUGUGGUACUAGAGGACUGGUGCUGAGAAUGGAGACAGUAAGGUGGCGAGAUAGCAGCUAACAUGCACCCAGAUGUCAAAGUGUCUGGAAUAGAGGAGCAUUUGGAGACCAUGGAAGAUGGAGACUGGGGAGGAUAUCUGGCAGGGACAGGUGGGGAACAGAAGUGAGGCCCCUUUCAGAGGCCAGAAGAGACAGCCCUGCGAUGGCAGACAAUAGAUUCAGCAAUCCACGGGUGAUGUUCUGAUAUCUCUUUACCCAUUCAGUUGUCACCGCACGCAUUGUGAUGACACAGUCACUGUACAGUCUCUUCAGGACCAGUGAUCCAGAGACAGAAAUACUUGUCGUGGCCACCAUACAAAGCACACUCCUGAAGAGCAACUGGAUCUGUCUUUACAGCCAGUGUGGGGACAGGCCCUAUAGAAAAGAGGGUCCUAGCCACGAGAUUUGUCCAGUCACCUUAAUAUUGAGAGGCAGUGAAGACAGCAGUAUCGAGAUUAUACUGUCCUCUGUUCUAGGUUACUCCAUGUUUAAUAAAACAGUGUUUUUUUUA